UCUCUCUGGGUUUGCUCCCCCCUGGGCUUCCCUCCCAGGCUGCAGCUGGCAGGACGAGGCAGGUUCUCAGCCAACGCAGAGACCUUCCAACGCCCAUUAUGAUUCUUCCCAGUGUCUGUGGAAAAACACCGCCCACUCCCGGGCCAGGGAAGGUGUUUGUGCUGCUCUGUCUCCAGCUCCAGCUCCAGGUGGGAAAGCUAAUUACCCUGGGCCCCCUCCACAGAGGCCAGGGGACCCUCUGAUGUUCCCAGGCCAAGGGGGCCCUGGAGGAAGGUGUGCGUGGCUCAUCUCACCAAUGGUGUGGGUCAGCAGGGCUGGACGGCAGGGGAAGAAACUGUGUGUGCAUGCACACGUGUGCACGUGCAUCUAGGAGUGUGUGACUUUCUUGAGCGCGUGGAAGUGCAGUCGUGGAGCUGUUGGUGUUUCGCAGUUCUUUUCUCCUGGGCAGAUGAUAGGACUGUACUUCACCAGUGUGGCCACGUGACUGCCGCCUCAGGAGUGGAAAUUACUUCCAGGAGAAAGCUUCAAGAGGUGGCAUGUGAUUUGCCCUGUUCUUGCAUCAAUAAUUGAAGUCAUCUGGGUUAAUGCAGAGUCCCCACCAGCAGGGUUCCCAAGUGACCAGACAAGGCAGAGACCCCUAACGACCCUCAGGCAGCAGGAGUCAAAUCUCACUUGUCUGCUCCAUGGUACUGAGACUUGGGAAUGGUUUUGUUACACAGCGGAGCGUGGCCUAUACUGACCAGCACAGAACGUGUGAGUGGGUGAGACUGAGGUGUGGCACAUCUGUGUCCAGGGACCCAGGAUGGGCACGAGUUACAGCUACGUGUAUGCUCACAUGUGUGAGCCUCAGCGAGUGCAUGAAACCAGUGUACAAUGGCAGAAAGGGGCUGAGUAAGGGUGUGCAAGCCUGCGCGUGCAGAUGUGCAGCUGAGCGUGAAGGGCAGGGCUCUGUACCGCACAACCCCAGGGGCACUGCCUUGGAGCAACGCUGUAUCCCCAGAGUUGCACACAUUGUAGACGUGAAAGUGGCCAGCGUGAGAGGCUGUCAGUGUGCCAGGGACCUAAGGGUGGUGUGCCUACAGGGCCACCAUGUGAUCUGUGCACAUGUGUGUGAGGGCGUGUAUGUCAGUGUGCGAUGCUUGUGUUUGAGGCGUGCGUAUGGGUCUGUGUGGACACGUUUGCACGCGUAUCUGCUACAGUGUGAACAUGUGAAUCCCUGCGUGUGAUGAGCCCAGGCCUGUCAGAGUAGUCACGGGGACACGGGAGGAGGGACGGCGCCCCCACCCCCACCCCCCUGAGCUAAGCCUGUUUCCAGGCUCCUGGGUUGCGCUGGGUCAAAUUCCGACCUAGGAGGACCUGGCAUGGCAAGAUGAAAUUCUCUUCCCCUCCUGGGUCUUGGGACAUUUCAAGUCAUUUGCAGUGGUUCUUAGUCCCAGAGGUACUCAACAGUUUGGGCAAAGUGGUUCAACUAGUGGGGAGGGCAAACCCGGGCCCCUUCCGCUCCCCCGAGGUAAAUCAUUUCCUGUCCUGUCCAUGUGGGUGCUGCUCUGAUCUAGUCAGGGUUCCGCCUUGGUCUGUCCCAGGGUCUGGGUUCGUUCUUGUCCACCUUAAGUCCACCGAGUAGCCCUGAUCUACCCAGGAUUUGGAUUUGGGGCUGAUCUCCUAGCACCAGGCUUAUUUUGGUCCAGCCCUAGAGCCAAGUUCAGCCUGUGUCUAUCCGGGGCUUCAGCUUGACCUAGAAGACAAGAGCCACCAGGGAGUAUCGUAGCCCUCAGAUUGUCCCGGGCCUCGAAUGUACCACCACCUUGGGACCCGAGCUGAGCCUGGUCUAUCUCAGGGGCCUCCUGGCCCUGGCUGAACUUUCCCAGGUAAGUGAGAAAUUCACAGCCAAGGGGUCACGUCCACAGCACCCGUUGCUCACAGAACACUCAGGAACUCGUGGAUAAGUGUCCAUUGCAAAUGACUGGUGUGUCCCAGGAUUAACGAGGGUAAGGAGAUUUUAUUUUUCCAAAGUCAUUAUCUGAAGUUCAUUAAGUUGGAUUUUAUGGGUCUUUUUUGAGGAUUAUUAUAAGGGGUUCUUGAUUUGCUAUGCUAAAUGGCAUUGAUCUUCAGGAGUUGGGGACUUCAUGAGAACCCAUCAUGGGGUCUUACUCAUAGAUGCUGGAGUUGGAAACCCCUCCAUCUGGGCUGUCCCCAGGCUCGGUUGCCACGCCGCACGCUUGGCGCACUGGUGGAGCAUUGCAGGGAGCUUUCUUCAUGGGUGUGACGGGGCGGUGUGUGUGUGUGUGUGUGUGUGUGUGUGUGUGUGUGUGUUCGUGCACCAUCACAGGCCAGCACACGCUCAACCGAAAGGCUCAGAACCUUCCAUCUCCUCCAACCAUCCCUGGCCUCACUCCAAACCUCCCAGAGGAAAUCAGAACCACACCAUGAAGUCCCCCUUCUCCCUAGUGACAAGUGGCCAACUUCUGUCUCAUUCUGUCCUCUCCUUCUUCCAGGGUGAGAAGCUCUUUCUCAUUCUGCAGUUCUAGUUGGAUCCCUCCGCCUUCUUGGGACUCCCAACAAACCAUCUCGUCUCUAUCCUGCUUAUUCAACCCCUCGCAAGCGGAACUUUGUCACUCGAGGGCUUCCUAGGAAAGAAGACAGACCAAGCCGCCUCGCUUGACCCCCUCUACUUCUCCCCCCCUUUCUAAGCUGCCUCCAUCUCCCCGCUUCCUGCUCUGGCUUCUCUACCCCUUCCCCUGGUUUCUGAUCCUCAGCUCCUGCCAAGCCCACCAGGGGCCUCCACGUUUCCACACCCAGGCGAUGCCUGUGGCUCACCAUCUUUCUGAACCCUGGCUCCGCUGACGUCUCUUUCUCUGUACAUUUCCUUGGCCACCAUGACACAUGUGGUCUGGGCACCUCUCCUGGAAUCCUUAUAGCCACAGAAAACAGACUGAGACACAUCCUGCACGGCUCCCUCCUAUGGCAGACUCGUCCUCCUCUACCCGAUGAUUAAAUGGACUCAGGUUUCUCCAUCUCAGCACAGAUAACCCCAUUCUGUGCAAUCGAUGCUCAACUCUGAAGGCAAGACCUCUGCUCUCGCACCUUGGUUUCACUCAGUGGCCCCUGAGUCUCCAUCUCCAUCCCUUCCAGGAAUCCCCAUCUGCCCAAGUCUGCACGGAGGCACCGCUGCUCUCAGGACCAACUUUGAGUGACCCAGUCAGCAGUGGAGGUUCUCCGGGACCUCAGGAGCCGAGCCCCCAGGUGCCAGGUGGAGAAUAAUAGUUCAUCAGAGGCAGGAAGUCAGAACCAGGGUGAGCAAGAGAACACGGCCCCCCCCACGACGAGGAGCCCCCAAGCUGGCAUCCAUGCUGCACAGGGGACUGAGCCACUGUCUCCUCCUGGCUGGUGACCUGUUGUGUCUGCUGGGGCUCAGCUCCCCAUCUUUUACCCAUCCCCCAGGCUCCGCCCAUCUGCCAACUGCCGCCUGUGUCCCUGUGUCCCUGUCCUGCUGCUCUUUCCCAGUUCCUCAGAACCACGAGCAAGUCCCGAAGGCUCUUCUCCAAAACUUGCUCCCACCUGCCCGGCACCUCCUUUCUGGCUGCCUCCCUCUUGGCCUGGACGGCGCUGGGUCCCACGUGGGCUGUCGCAGUCACCUCCUCGCUGGUCCCAUUCCCCAACCCAGUAACUGACAGAGGUCUUAAGCAACAGGAAUCAGAUCGGACUCUCCUUCCCACUGCAACUCGUCCCGCAGCCCCACGCCACAUUGAAGAUAAACUCAAAAGCCCCCCCUGUAGCCUGCUGAGGCCCUGACGGCAGCCCCCUGCCGACCUGCGUGUCCUCGCACCUGCCUGUCUCUGGCUAGCUCUGGCCACAGUGCAAGGGCUCUUCCCCACCUCAGGGCCUUUGCACUUCUCCCAGCUCUUCCCAGGGCCAGAGAGCCUGACCCAGUGACCCUGCCUCACGAGGCUCCCCUCACACACGCUCUUUAUUUGUGACGUCUGUUGUGCCUCCAGUAUGAUAUCACCCAGGACUCAGGUGGGCUUAUUAUAGUCCCAUCUGUGUCCUGCCACCUACGACACAGCCUGCAGCUCCAGGCAAUCGCUGUGUCGCGUGAAUGAACAAAUGUACAACCUCCACUCCCAGCUCUCCUUCCAAGAGAUGCUGCUACCUGUCCACCCCUGCUGAGUGGGAGACCUCCAGAACCAGGGAUUCUAAGUGCCCAGGGGUCCUGUCUCGGCUAACUGGACAACGACGGCACUCCUGGUACAAGUUGAAACCUCAACCCCCCUCCCCAGCCUGGGGCGAUGGACUUGGAACACAGAGGCCAGGGUGAUUGGCAGGUGUAGGGCCAUGGACUUGAAGGUCCAUGAAGAUCGGGGGCUGCAAAACCCGGAGCUGUGGGUAGGUGACAUGAGAGGUGCAGAAACAAGAGGCCCAGGGUGGGGGUCAUGCCAGGGGAGGGACCCAAGAGCUGGCGCUGCACAGGCUUCCAGAGGGGAUUCUCUAGGCCCUUGGAUUCGAAGUAAUUCCCUGCCGUUGCUGAGAUCUGGAACAUUCUCCAAAGCCUACAUGGGAAAGCUUGGUUCCCAGCUCGGCACAGUGGGUGCUGGUGGACGUGUUAAUAGAUGGGGUCCCAUGGGAGGUCUUAGGCCACGUGCACAUGACCUUGAAGGGCACAGGGGCCCCAGUCCCUCCCCUCGCCCUUUCUUUCACGCUCUGGUCCUGGGAUGGGUGGUUCUGCCACUCCCUGCCACGAUGUGCUCCCUCGUCACAGGCCCAAAAGCAACAGAACCAACCGAUCAUGGACUGAAAAUAAGCAUUUUUGCUUUGUAAGUUGAUUGUCUCAGGUAUGUGUUACAGUAACAGAAAGCUGACGAACACCGUCCCUUGCCACCACCAUUCUUUGCCCUGCACUUGGAACCAGACAGUAAUUUCUUGUUUGUUUGCAAUUGGUCUCUUCCCACCAAAUGUCAGCUUGCAAGAGCGAGUGCUGUGUCUGUCUCACGCAGAGUGUGGUAUAAAUAUUUGUUAAAUGAAUUGAUAGAGGAGUAACUGAAUGAAUGAAAGAUGGCCCUCUGGGCCCCUGGAGCACCACCCACUGGGUUUUGAGAGAUCCCCUGACAGCUCCUGUGUCCCUGGGCCAGUUAGGGACACCACCCCCCACCCCCACCCAGGCCAACAGGAGGCAAUUGAAAAUGGAAAGAGACGUCAGGGAAGAGCCAGCCGGUGAGAGGGGCAGAGGGUGAUGGCUGGAAGGAGCCAGCUGGAGCAGGAGGGAGGAGAAGACGAUGAGGCCAGAGCUGGACAAGGCCAGAGCUGGGAACAGGCAGGGCUGGGGGACAGGAGGCAAGCCAGAUGUAAAGGACCGGGACCUCUCUCACGCAGAAGCUCGUCACGAUUGAUGGUAACAGUGAUUCUGCAAAAUGCGAACCGUGAUCCCUUGCGUGCACCUGGCCCUUGCUUGUGCCAGGCGCCUGUUGGUACAUCAGCCCCCAUAAUUAGUCCUGGGGGUCAGGGGGUCAGUGGGGUGGGUGGCCAUGUACCUAUCGCACAUCAAUGUAAAUCCAGGCAAAUGACCGUGUGCAUCAGUGGACGAGGGCACCCACGGCCAUGAUCCCUCCCUUGUUAGUGGUUUGCAGCAUCCUGUUCUCCUGUUCAAAGGCUCCUCGACUUACAAUGGAGUUACAUCCUAAU